AAUUCAGUGAAUCAUCGAAUCUUUGAACGCACCUUGCACCCUUUGGUAUUCCGGAGGGUACGCCCGUUUGAGUGUCAUU
rnacentral:rRNA from 1 species